rnacentral:lncRNA from 1 species
AGAAAUCAUACCAAUUGUUGUCUCUGUUUCAUUUAUAUUUCAAAAUAAAUUUAGGAAAUAAUUUUUAUUUAUGCUACCAAACAUGGCAAAAGGUUUUUAACUUAUUUCUUUUUCUUAAAUUUGAAUAAAUCUUAAUUUAAUUUAGUUCAUUGUAUUAAGUAUUAACUUGUUUUUUAAACUUAAGUUUUAAAACAAAAUGCUUUUAAGAUUUAAGUUGGAAAUUCCAUUUCAAAACUACAUUUACUUUUUCAUACCCAUCAUUUUAUUUUUUAUUUUUUUAAUCAAAAUG